rnacentral:rRNA from 1 species
AUGAACGCUGGCGGUAUGCUUAACACAUGCAAGUCGAACGGUCUCUUCGGAGAUAGUGGCGGACGGGUGAGUAACGCGUGAGAAUCUGUCUUCAGGUCGGGGACAACCACUGGAAACGGUGGCUAAUACCGGAUGUGCCUUUGGGUGAAAGAUUAAUUGCCUGGAGAUGAGCUCGCGUCUGAUUAGCUAGUAGGUGUGGUAAGAGCGCACCUAGGCGACGAUCAGUAGCUGGUCUGAGAGGAUGAUCAGCCACACUGGGACUGAGACACGGCCCAGACUCCUACGGGAGGCAGCAGUGGGGAAUUUUCCGCAAUGGGCGAAAGCCUGACGGAGCAAUACCGCGUGAGGGAGGAAGGCUCUUGGGUUGUAAACCUCUUUUCUCAAGGAAGAACACAAUGACGGUACUUGAGGAAUCAGCAUCGGCUAACUCCGUGCCAGCAGCCGCGGUAAUACGGAGGAUGCAAGCGUUAUCCGGAAUGAUUGGGCGUAAAGCGUCCGCAGGUGGCUUUGUAAGUCUGCUGUUAAAGAGUGAGGCUCAACCUCAUAAAAGCAGUGGAAACUACAAGGCUAGAGUACGUUCGGGGCAGAAGGAAUUCCUGGUGUAGCGGUGAAAUGCGUAGAGAUCAGGAAGAACACCGGUGGCGAAAGCGUUCUGCUAGGCCGUAACUGACACUGAGGGACGAAAGCUAGGGGAGCGAAUGGGAUUAGAUACCCCAGUAGUCCUAGCCGUAAACGAUGGAUACUAGGCGUGGCUUGUAUCGACCCGAGCCGUGCCGGAGCUAACGCGUUAAGUAUCCCGCCUGGGGAGUACGCACGCAAGUGUGAAACUCAAAGGAAUUGACGGGGGCCCGCACAAGCGGUGGAGUAUGUGGUUUAAUUCGAUGCAACGCGAAGAACCUUACCAAGACUUGACAUGUCGCGAACCUUUGUGAAAGCAGAGGGUGCCUUCGGGAGCGCGAACACAGGUGGUGCAUGGCUGUCGUCAGCUCGUGUCGUGAGAUGUUGGGUUAAGUCCCGCAACGAGCGCAACCCUCGUUUUUAGUUGCCAGCAUUAAGUUGGGCACUCUAGAGAGACUGCCGGUGACAAACCGGAGGAAGGUGGGGAUGACGUCAAGUCAGCAUGCCCCUUACGUCUUGGGCUACACACGUACUACAAUGCUACGGACAAAGGGCAGCAAGCUAGUGAUAGCAAGCAAAUCUCAUAAACCGUAGCUCAGUUCAGAUCGCAGGCUGCAACUCGCCUGCGUGAAGUCGGAAUCGCUAGUAAUUGCAGGUCAGCAUACUGCAGUGAAUUCGUUCCCGGGCCUUGUACACACCGCCCGUCACACCAUGGAAGCUGGCAACGCCCGAAGUCAUUACUCCAACUGUUCGCAGAGGAGGAUGCCUAAGGCAGUGCUGGUGACUGGGGUG